rnacentral:misc_RNA from 1 species
UAAUGAAUGUCUUCCAAUAGUUUGAGUCAAAACUGAUUCUUAUAUACUUGGUUAUAUGUCUCAGGAGCCAUUGAACUUUUUAGGCUAGAGUGAUGGAGAACAAACGCUGACAGGUGGCGUUUUAGUUAUUUAAGCAUUGACAACAUAACAUUUAUCCUCUGUUAACUUCUUGGACAGUUCCUAUAGGAGUUUGUCAUCUGCAAUGCAUAUGACCUUCUAUGGGAAUUCAAG